UAGCCUGGCACGGCCCCAGCAGUAGCAGUGUCCUUUACGAGCCUCCUCCUCUGCAGUGGUGCACCCACCUUGACUUUGACAUGUUUCAUUUUCCUUUUCCCACCCACCUCGAUCCGUCACUCCCACCUCUGGUCGAUGUGAAGAUGACUCCGGCUCCACUGGAUGUCUGCUCGACGGAAAUCCGUCAGCCUCAGAUUCCGAUGCGGAUCAAAGGGAAUCGCAAACCACGACGCAGACCGAUGGUCCCGAUGGAGACCAACGCGGAGGGGUCGAGACCGGCGAAGAGUCUCGGAAUAAUCCUGAAGAUGGCGAUGACUCCGGCUCCACUGGAUGUCUGCUCGACGGAAAUCCGUCAGCCUCAGAUUCCGAUGCGGAUCAAUGGGAAUCGCAAACCACGACGCAGACCGAUGGUCCCGAUGGAGACCAACGCGGAGGGGUCGAGACCGGCGAAGAGUCUCUGAAUAAUCCUGAAGAUGGCGAUGACUCCGGCUCCACUGGAUGUCUGCUCGACGGAAAUCCGUCAGCCUCAGAUUCCGAUGCGGAUCAAAGGGAAUCGCAAACCACGACGCAGCCCGAUGGCCCCGAUGGAGACCAACGCGGAGGGGUCGAGACCGGCGAAGAGUCUCUGAAUAAUCCUGAAGAUGGCGGUGAGUGGCGUUCAACCACUCGCGUGCAACACGCGUGUACAACGCCUGCGACAUGUUACCUACCUCGCCUUGUAUGCAGGAGGUUUUCAUGAGUACAAUCCUCUCAUUCUCUCCGUGGUGGUCACUGCCUGGU